UACAAAUGUCUAUCAUGCAACAAAAAUAGAUGGCCAGGAGCUAGCAAUCAAAUUCUAUAAAACCUCUGUCCUUGUCUUUAAGGAUAGAGACAGAUAUGUUCAAGGAGAUUAUCAUUUUAGAUAUGGUUACUGCAAGCAUAAUCCCCGGAAAAUGGUUAAAACCUGGGCUGAAAAGGAAAUGAGAAAUCUUAAACGGUGGGAUAUAUUUUUCGUACCUUAUUCAUAAUUUCAUAUUGCUGUUACUAAAAUAUCUAUGAUUAAUUUCAGGCAUUUGUAGAAUCAUUAGGAAUGAAUUUUCUUGCGAAUUAUGGUAAGGAAUCCAUCAAUGUGGAGAGAACUUUCUUAAAUAUGUCAUCAGAAAUCAAGAAAAAAGUAACCAGGAACUUCACACUUUUA